CGGCGGACGGCUGAGUAACGCGUGGGAACAUGCCCCAAAGUGAGGAAUAAGCUCCAGAAAUGGUGUCUAAUGCCGCAUAUGAUCUUCGGAUUAAAGGAUUUAUCCGCUUUGGGAGUGGCCUGCGUACGAUUAGAUAGUUGGUGAGGUAAUGGCUUACCAAGUCUACGAUCGUUAGCUGGUCUGAGAGGAUGACCAGCCAGACUGGAACUGAGACACGGUCCAGACUCCUACGGGAGGCAGCAGUGAGGAAUCUUCCACAAUGGGCGAAAGCCUGAUGGAGCAACGCCGCGUGCAGGAUGAAGGCCCUCGGGUCGUAAACUGCUUUUAUAAGUGAAGAAUAUGACGGUAACUUAUGAAUAAGCACCGGCUAACUACGUGCCAGCAGCCGCGGUCAUACGUAGGGUGCAAGCAUUAUCCGGAGUGACUGGGCGUAAAGAGUUGCGUAGGUGUCUGUUAAGUGAAUAGUGAAAUCUGGGGGCUCAACCUCACAGACUAUUACUCA
rnacentral:rRNA from 1 species